UCAAACAUGAUUGCGGAGCUCAGUAUCAGUAUGCCGCAACAGACUCACGCAGGAUCAAGGCAGGCAUAAAACACUUCCCGGUUCCACCAGCUAGUUACUCUCACUCAUUUUUCCCUCCAAAAUCGUCCCUUCCCAAUCCAACACCAAACACUCUUGCUCUCUUCUUCAAGGUUCCUUCUACUGAGAGAAACUCGCUUUUGGACUCGCAAUUCACCUGGGUGAAUCGCAAGAAAUUCUCAAUCGAUUUUUUUCUGUUGUUUUGAUUCUGAACAAGAUGGAGGAUUACUUGCAAUACAUGAAGGCAUUGCGCUUUCAAAUGAACGAUGUUGAGGAUCAAGCGGCAAAGAUUUCCGCGGAGGAGGAAAUGAAGUUGACGAACGUCCGCAUUUUGGAAAAAGACAUCGAGUCAGCAAAAUCUGAAAUGAGGCAACUUAGAGAGGAUAUUGAAACGAUGAGGAAGGCAAAGGGUGAGAUAUGCUCUAAAAUUUUGGAAAAACAGAGAAAGAUUUCCUCUUUGGAGUCUGACUCAUCUACGCUUAGCCAGACUCUUGAACUUAUACAGCAAGAGAGACUUGGGUUAUCUAACAAACUUGAAGAGAAGAGAUCUUACUACAGAAUGGUUGAAGAGGAUAUGGCUGCCAGAUUACAGCAACAAAAGGAAUGGAUUAGCUCUAAGAAAAAUAGCAGACAAGUAAAGGAGCAUGAAUUGGUGAAAGGUAAAGGUGAUGGACCAAGGAGCAUAUCUGCAGGGGAGGCAAUUGCUGAUAACAACUUUAUCAUGGAUAAUGCGGCGAGUGAUGCAAUGAAGAGAUUACAGAUCCAGUUGGAUUCAGCUAAAGCAAGACUUGAUGAGAUUUUACUUCUGAAAUCCAAUCUUUUUGCAGAGAAUAACAGGGUUCCUUAUCUGAAUCCUUUAAAACAGAAAAAUAUUUAUUACAUACGAUUCUGCUGCCUUAGUUUGGCUUGUUUUCCCAGUUUUGUGCUGCAAUUUACUUCCAAGUUGUGAGUGGUCUUACUUACAUAAUCUGUUUUUUCAAGUCAUGGACAAAGCUUUUUACAUCUGAAGUUAUUAAUUUUGCUGGAUGAGAAUAAAUGGACGUUAGAAAAGGUCCAAUCUUCAAACUUUCUAAAAGCUUUGAUUUUUAUUUGAUUUAUUCUCUAUGUUGUGUUAACUGGAUGAUUUUUUUUUUUUUUCCUUUCUAUAAUCAGCUAAAAUAGAUAUUGCUGUUUUGACAAUCAAUCUUUUCCAUUUAGAAGGGUUGGAGCCAAUAUCUCCGAUUCUCAACCAUAAAGUGGAAAGUUUUAUCUGCUGUUGUUAAUAUGUUAUUUCUCCAGUCAUGGAGAAAGAUUUUCAAUUCCUUAAUGUUUUCAUAAACAAAUUUGUAUUCACAAUUAUAUAUUUUGUGCUAUUAAAUAUGGUUUCCAUGAUUAACUUUCUUGCAUAUCAGAUGAGACAAGCUAUUGAAGAAGCAAAGUACAGAAUAAAUACUUUCAGAGAUAAAAGAAGCAGAUAUAACUGCUCUUGAAGAAGAAUAUAAUGCCCUUAUGUCUGACAAAGCUGGAGAAAUUGAGUACCUACGGU